CUCUUCGUCCCGCCCUUGCCUCGUCGCACUCAAGACGCAAUCCCCGUUUUCCAUUAACGCGGACCAAAAAUAUCCGAAACAAUCCCUUUCCCUCACCCCGUCUCCUCCCUCGUGGCAUCACCGCCGCCGCCGGCCACUAAUGGUCGCCGCCCGCCACAACUUCUCCCUUCCUCCCGGAGGCCUGCCCAAUCUCGAUCUCGUCGAUCUCCCAGGCGCUUCCUCCCGCAGGACAUGCUGAAUCAAACCCGCAAACAAGCCCUCUCGGCCAAACGCUCACCCCUGGAUCGAGCCUCCACGCCCCAAGCACUAGAUCGUGGACACCGCCACGCCGACUAUCCCUGAUUGAUUCUUCACGCUCGGUGACCAGGCCGGGGGCCAGAUCGAUUGGUGGCUGAAUCUUCAUCGACCGGUCCUUGGGGGUCUUCCUCUCCGCCACGCAGUUACCGGAUUUCGCCUACACCGCCACCACAAGCCGCCGCCUCCUCCAUCGGAGGCCCUUUCCUCUAGGCCGAGGGCAUCACGUGAUCGUUGCUGCCACGGCCACUUCUCUGGCUACCGGCGGCAUCACACCGGUGCCUAUCCGCCCCUGGGGCUCGUAAGCUUCUCCCCCUGCUGAAUACUAGAUUUCUUAUACCCUUUUGAUCUUCAAGUCGAGGUACCUUUUUCUAGGACUGUAUAAAGCGCCACAUGGUAUCAUUGUCUGUUGAGGAUGAGAGUGGGAUGAUCAAUCGAAUUGGCUGUUGGGCUGAAAAAGGAUAAGGCGUCAUUUAGAAUAGUACUAUCCCGAAAAUACUCCAACAAGUUGUUGAGAAGCUCUACAAACUUGUUAACGUUAUACAUGUUAUCAUUGCUUCAGUAUCAUGAAGCUCUACAAAGUAGUGAAUCUGAAAGUGUUUUCUCAAUAGUAAUAAUACGUCAUCAAUGAUGCUUUCGGUCAUUCCAGUUUUUGUGUUUAAAGUUUAAACAUGUUGACGAUUUUUCAAAGGAAUCACAAGAGAUCUCAUGCUUAUAAAGCUAAACGUAGAGUCAGAAAAGCGUCUUGAGGUAGAAGUUUGUAUGUGCAUUGCAGGGAUGCUAUCUGAAGAUUUUAAUUUUUACAGAUGAUGCUCAAUUUACAUGUUUAAACUGGAGCAGAGGUAAGAUUAGAAUUGGUUUACACUUUUGCUUAUUUCUCUACUUCUACAUGCUGGUGAUGGGUUUGGUUGACAUUUUAAGAGAAAAAUUGGUUGGUCUUUCAGACCAUACGCCUUUUAAGUUACCACUGUACCUAUGGUAGGUGUUGAGAAACAUCAGACCAAUAUGUCUGAAAAGAUUCGUUUCUACAGCAGUGCCAUGUGAAAUUAUACACGUUCAGUUUUCUCAGAAAGGAUUCGUAUCUUUUAGGAUUAUAUGUGGUAGUCUACCAAAUGAGAAUGUUGAUUACAAUUGGCAGUUUUCCUUACCAUUCUUCUUAACUGUAAUCUAAUUUGGUCAGCUACACAUUGAUUUAGGUGGUUACUUUUUUAGCCUAAAAAUGUAUGACAUAUUUUACAUGCAUCCGCCAAAAUAUAUUCCUUGAUCACAUAAAGUUCAUGUGCAUGUAUGUCUGUACUGUAUUCAAGGUGUGUUAUAACUCGGCCAGCUCAUGAAUAAUUGCUUACUAGGCCAUACUUUUGUCCCAGGAUCAUCAGAAAGAUGAUGUUACUUAUGAAUUGAAAGGAUAUCAUCAGGCACUUUGAGGUUGACUAAUAUUAUUCAGUUGCAUCGUAAAUUUGGAGAGAAAAAUGCAAGCGCUAUUGGAAUCAGCUGGAGCAAACUAUCUCAAUAUCGAGGAAUUUAUGCUGACGGUGGAAUAUGUCAUGAAUAUGUUUUUUUAUUUCAAGAAUCAGAUGGAGCUUGUGUUGUCAGCAUAAACGGGAGGCAUGAACUUCAGAGGAUCUAAAAAGAGGGAAACAGUCUUGGAAACAGCUUGAGGGCCCUUGUUCUAUUUGCAAUGGAACAAAGCAGGGUCCACUGCCUGAUGGUCCAUGCUUGUGGCUAAGAGCUUUGGUCAAGUAGCAGCGGCUAGCAACGAUUGGUGUGUUGAAGGUCGAACGUAAAGAGUAAUGGCAAUGAUUCGGAUAAUGGUUCCAGUGGAGGUAUUUCUAUUGUGAGAGCCCACAGAGUAUCUACUUGUUCCUUGGGGCACCGGGUCGAGACGGUCCAUUUUCUCGUUGUUUGAUUUGUUAACCAGUUUGGAUUUUGUAGUCAUGUCGAUAGUCAUUGUGCUUCAUACUCUGCAUUUCUUCUCCCUCUUGCAUUUGCACUUUUAGUUCCAGAUUUGUUUCUCUUGCAUUAUGUGGUAAUGAUUUGGGUAUCAUGAACAUUAUUCAAACUACUCGAUAGCUUUUCCAACGCCUGAAUCUACCAUCUAGGCCUUGUAAAAGAGUGAUGCAAGGGGAAUUUUUUAAUUGGCCUUUUUUUCCUACGAGGUGAAAAAUAGCAAUGCACUUCCAUUUCAGUUCAUUA